rnacentral:lncRNA from 1 species
CAUCUCCUUGGGUAACACGUUGCAUUGUCUCACAACUUGCUUAAUGUCUAAUUUAAAUAAAUCCCUUUUGGCACAGUUUAAGUCCAGUGCCUUUCAUUCUAUCCUCAAAGAAAAACAGAACAGCUGCUCCUGCUCUCCUAUUCAAUAUGCUUCCCUAUUUUAAAGAAUUCAGUUCUUCAGAAAAAAAUUAAUGAGACUCUUCUAUUUUAAUGAGUUACUUGUUUGGUGGAUUGGCACUUUUCCUCCCCCAAGCUCAACAUUCUUGGUUACAGAAAUGAAUUAGAAUAGAACAUUGAGAGUAGAAGGAAUUUAGAUGUCAUUCAAUUCUCUGUUUUCACAGAUGGGACAAGAGGCCCAGGGAAAUGGAGGACCUGACUUGCUCACACAGCAGAAUCAGAACUAAGACCCAACCAUCCUACCUCUCAACUGAGAGUAACUUCUGCCAGAUCACGGACCUUCUUCUGGGGAAAAGCAAACUAAGACCAUACUUACAAGAAAAGAGGAUACCAGGAAGCUCAACCAGAGCUGUGAAGCCAGAAGAUUGCCUGUGAGUGGAUUUCCAGUGCCGUAAUCCUCAGGAUCAGCUUCGCCACUCACAGAGCCAAGUACAAAGUGAAAAUGGGGAGUCCCUGGUUGGGAAAGCACUAAGACUUUCAAGAUGAUGACAGCAGAGUAUUAAACCACGGACAGAGGCCAGGCAUGGUGGCCCACGCAUGUAAUCCCAGGACUCUGGGAGGCUGAAGCAGGCAGAUCACUUGAGGCUAGGAGUUUGAAACCAGCCUGGCCAACAUGGUGAAACCCUGUCUCUACUAAAAAUACAAAAAAUUAGCUGGGCAUGGUGGCACAUGCUUGUAGUCCCAGCUACUGGGAGGCUGAAGCAGGAGAAUUGCUUGAACCAGGGAGGCGGAGGUUUCAGUGAGCCGAGAUCACGCCACUACACACCAGCCUGGUGACAGAGCGAGACUCUGUCUCAAAAAACAAAACCAAAAACCAAAAAACAAAAACAAACGAACAAACAAAAAACCACAGCAGAGCUGUCCUGGGUAUGCAGCCUGCAGCCUGAGUGACUGCACAGGUUGCACAGCCAAGAAACUGGCCCCACUAAUGUUUCUCUGUAAGAAUUACUGUAACACUGAUGACACCAUCUGCUGAGUCACUACUGUGUGCCAGGCAAUGUGCUCGACUCUAGAUUGCAUCAUGAAUACUGUAGGGGAAGAAAAGAUGUUUUUCCUCGCUCACCACAAGGUUUGUGGCUGAGGCCCUUAUAACAAGACAGAUUAAACCACACAGAUUUGUUUAGUGUAAGUUUCACAUGACACAGAAGCCUUUAAAAAUGCAGGCCCAGCCGGGUAUCGUGGUGUAUGCCUCUGUUCCCAGCUACUCAGGAGGCUGAGGUGAGAGGAUCCUUUGAACCUGGGAGGUCAAGGCUGCAGUGAGCCGAGAUCGCACAACUGCACUCUGAUCUGGGGCACAGAGUGAGACCCUCUGUCAAAAAAAAAAAAAAAAAAAAAGAAAAGAAAAUUCAUCACUAUCCAAUGAUAGUCACUGUAAAUAUUGUGUUUCCUUUCAGCCUUUGUUGUUGUGUUGUUACUGUGUACUCUUUUACAUCUACCUUUAUCAAAGCUAAGAUGGUAGGCAGCCUUUUUCAUUUAACAAUAAUGUUAAAUUAGUAUAUUCCCAUUUUAUUCAAGUUUUUG